CGGAAUCAAAGGUGACACAUGGCGAAUUCAUUUAGUGUCGUUGGAAGUGAGUGCAUGAAACUAAUUGAGCCAUAAUCUCAGAGAUCACCACACACCUCAAACGCAGGUCGUGAGGUUAAGAAACCAUCGUCCACGUGCGAGCCAGUGAGCUCAGCAUCCAUUGUCUUCACUCUUGACUUCCAUCCGAGUCACCAUACUACAGAUUCCGGCAACAAAUCGAUACGGUAGAAAAGUCAGUGGUUACCCAGCACGUUCUUCCAAGGUAAAAGUAUAAGUCACGAGCAUUGACGACAAACUAAUUCGAUCUGCAUCCUCUAGCAGUAAACUGAUGUGACCCACAAACCACUAUUUAUGCCAAUUUGCAUGCAUUGACGUAACUACUCAAGACAAAAGCAAGUAACCAACAAAAGGCCUUCAAAAAGAGGGCUUUUUAUUUACAGUUUGAAAACGUUCUGUCGCACACUGCGAUCGCCUUUAGAUUCGGCCUUGAAGAAUUGUGCAAAAGUGUAGCGUUUACGGAUAGUAAGGGAUACAGCUAGUAAUCAUUCAGUUCUCCAAGCCCAUGGAUGGGCCACGACUCCCCGAGGACAACAAACCGUUUUAGGACGAAGUCUCAUUGAAGACACGGCCGGUGAUACACUGGUUGAGUGACAAAAGGGGCGAUCACCCUGACGUGGUUUAAGCAGUGCAGGUAACACGAGUAAGAGGUGAGACAGCCUCCACAACGCUACAGCAGCAGGCUGUCGGGCGAUACUACGAUGGCGUUGAAUUGACACGGUACAACAAUAGCGGCAUCGAAAGGGGCCCCAGAGACAUCAUCUUGGAGGAAUGAACUGGUCGUGUAAUUUGUGAGAGAGAAUAUGAGCUAGAUGUAAGACAAAUAGAUUAAGAUGUCAAAUUGGAAUUAGAUAGAUUAAGCAGCAAUUAGUACCAUUGUAAAUUUUUUUUUGAGUCGCUAUCGUCCGUUGCACUGUAUUGCGUCUAGUUUCCAUUGAUGAAUUAAACCUUGAAUAAUUAAGCAAAAGAUUAAAGCCAUGCUUGAAGGUCACCACAUGAUAAGAGAUAAGAAUAGAGGAAUAUCGUUACAGUUUUUGAUCUCUAUUUUCGGUACUUUCGGAACCGGUAACUGUAACCUGGUAGUCGCUCUAGAUAACGAUUUUAACAAACUGACUUUAAAUUUUGGAUUUACAUAGGAUAAGUGGAGAAUGUUCAAUUUAACCAGUGUAUUUAUAUACAAGACGAUGUAAAAAUGAACGAAAUCCUUUGAAUUAGCCGUAUGGUUCUUUUUGCCUUUCUCAUAUAGAAAGGUUAUGCAAUCA